rnacentral:ncRNA from 1 species
UAUUAGGCUUUGAACAGGAAUAGUAAUAUUUCAAUCAUUUUAAGAGAGCUGUUGUCUGGUGCAAAACAGUAUUUGAUAAAGUAUGAACUCGCCUGGGAGCAUAUCUGCAGAAAAGCAGGUACGGUAAAUCCGUUAUCUUUUUAAGCUGGGAUUUAUGUUUUGUUUUUUAUAUACAUAAAUCUAAUUAGAGUGGUACCGCGGAAUUUUAAUCUUUCGUCUCUUUU